rnacentral:rRNA from 1 species
UACGUAGGGUGCAAGCGUUGUCCAGAAUUAUUGGGCGUAAAGAGCUCGAAGGCGGUUCGUCGCGUCGGCUGUGAAAACCCGGAGCUCAACUCCGGGCCUGCAGUCGAUACGGGCGGACUUGAGUGUUGCAGGGGAGACUGGAAUUCCUGGUGUAGCGGUGAAAUGCGCAGAUAUCAGGAGGAACACCGGUGGCGAAGGCGGGUCUCUGGGCAACUACUGACGCUGAGGAGCGAAAGCGUGGGGAGCGAACAGG